rnacentral:rRNA from 1 species
UAGGGAAUCUUCCGCAAUGGACGCAAGUCUGACGGAGCAACGCCGCGUGAGUGAAGAAGGAUUUCGGUUCGUAAAACUCUGUUGUUAGAGAAGAACAGCGCAUAGAGUAACUGUUAUGCGUGUGACGGUAUCUAACCAGAAAGCCACGGCUAACUACGUGCCAGCAGCCGCGGUAAUACGUAGGUGGCAAGCGUUGUCCGGAUUUAUUGGGCGUAAAGCGAGCGCAGGCGGUCAAUUAAGUCUGAUGUGAAAGCCCCCGGCUCAACCGGGGAGUGUCAUUGGAAACUGGUUGACUUGAGUGCAGAAGAGGAGAGUGGAAUUCCAUGUCUAGCGGUGAAAUGCGUAGAUAUAUGGAGGAACACCAGUGGCGAAGGCGACUCUCUGGUCUGUAACUGACGCUGAGGCUCGAAAGCGUGGGUAGCAAACAGG